CUUCUCGCAAGAUUCGGCCCGUAUCCGUGGAAACGAGCGCGCGAAUUUUUUUCUGGAGUUUAGAAGGAGGCAGCCACAGACGGUGCUCGGAGCUGUAAGGAAUAACCAGCCCUCUACCAGUGCAGCAGAUUCUUGCCUUUGACUGUGGCGGUGGCCAGAAGGAAUGUGCCAAAGCCAAAGAGGCCUUAACUGAGAUGCCUCAUGGGAAUUAAACGGCACAUAUGAAGUGGUUUGUAAUACCAUGGUUUUCCGACCUGUCCUGAUUGGUUCUUGAUAUGUUUAUGGUUCAUUAUAUGAAAUUAUUUUUUGUAUGCUUUUUUCCCCCCAUUUCUUCUAUAUUUUUCUUCUUUAAAUAUACAUUAAAAAAAGUCUUGAGAUUGUUUAACUGUUCAUGUAUCAGUGUUUUAAAGGAUAGUUCACCGGAAAAUGAAAAAUUGCUGCUAAUUUACUCACCCUCAAGCCAUCCAUGAUGUAGGUGACAUUUUUUCUUCAGUUUACACAAACGAUUUUUAGCGUGGUCCUUGGUGAUUCGUAUAAUGCAAGUCAAUGGCUACUGUCACUUUGAGAGUCAUAAAAACAUAUUACAGGCCAAACAAAGUUAAUACCUGUGACUGAUGCUGACGUUACAUUGAGGUCUUAUGAAUCAUCCGGAGCCACAGGUAUUCUUUUUGUUUUGCCUGUAUAUGUUUUUUUGAGUUUCCAACUGACUGUAGCCAUUGACUUUUAUAUUAUACUUUUAUAUUAUACAAACCACCAAGGACCACAUUUUCAGCUAAAAAUCUUCUUUACUGAUAGUAAAUUAACGUUAAAUUUUCAUUUUUGGGUGAAUGAUCCCUUUAAGCUUAGUGAAUAUGAUGUAACUAGAGACUUAAAUGAUUAGUUCACUUUCAAAUGAAAAUUACCCCAAGCUUUACUCACCCUCAAGCUUAAUACUUUAAUAUAUCUCCGAUUGUGUUCAUCAGAAAGUCAUAUACACCUAGAAUG